CCUACGGGUGGCAGCAGUGGGGAAUAUUGCACAAUGGGGGGAACCCUGAUGCAGCGACGCCGCGUGAGUGAAGAAGUAAUUCGGUAUGUAAAGCCCUAUCAGCAGGGAAGAAAGUGACGGUACCUGACAAAGAAGCCCCGGCUAAAUACGUGCCAGCAGCCGCGGUAAUACGUAUGGAGCAAGCGUUAUCCGGAUUUACUGGGUGUAAAGGGGGCGUAGGUGGCAGAGCAAGUCCGGAGUGAAAGCCCGAAGCCCAACCACGGGACUGCUUUGGAAACUGCUCAGCUAGAGUGCAGGAGAGGCAAGUGGAAUUCCUAGUGUAGCGGUGAAAUGCGUAGAUAUUAGGAGGAACACCAGUGGCGAAGGCGGCUUACUGGACUGUAACUGACGCUGAGGCUCGAAGGCGUGGGGAGCAAACAGGAUUAGAUACCCGUGUAGUC
rnacentral:rRNA from 1 species